GUGCAAACAGACAGAUACACACAGGCAAAGAUGAAUCAUAACAUGGAGGCCUGAACCUGAACCUGCUUAGCUUAGGUUUAUUGCUGAGGCACUGGAGGAAAUUGUAUUUGAUAUGCCUUUGUGCAGAAUAGAUAACUGAAAAGGGGCCUC